ensembl:lncRNA
GAGCAGCCGCAGCGAGCGGGAGGAGUCCGACCCCGAACUACAGCUCCCAGAAUGCACCGCGGGAACACCCGUCCUCAGCAGCCAAUCAGCGUGCGCGCUGCCGCCCUAUAAAGGCCCACGGCGGGCCGCCCUCUGUCUCUCUUUGCGAUGGCGGCGGUGGUGGCCGCGCUGCGGGACAAUCCGCCGCCAUCCGCCCUCCGCCGGGGCCCUCCCGCCUCGUUGGUGCCCGGGGGCUCGGCGGGAUGACGCGGCUCCCUCCGUGGUGUGGGACCUGAGCCGCCGUGGGAGCGCUGUGGAGAUGCUGCUUGCAGUGCCACCCGGUGCAGGAGGCGGUGCUGGGCAGGGUUUCUCGCUGUUUGGAGCUCACUGCCUGCCUGCUGAUAGACCCAAGGAACUGCACGCUUAGUGGGAGAGGCUGAGAGCUUCUGAGACCCCGUGGAGGGUUUUGGUUUGCUUUGCUUAAGGCUGAAAUUGUGGAGAAACUGAAGUGGAGUGUGUCAGUGUCCCCUGUUUAAAUGGAAUACAGACCCGAGUGUCUUCAAUCCUAAAGAAGCGGUGGUCUGCACAACCACAUGGUGGCUGCUCUGUGAGUUGGGAGCUCCCCCAGGUGGGAGAGCUGCAGUGGUGCAGCAGUCACUGAGUGCUGUUGGCCAGGGGAGCCUCUGAGGGACACUGCCAGAGCUCCCAUUCAGGUGCUCAGUGAGGAAGAAUGUUCCCUGCUACAGAGUUCUGCCAAAAGAAGAGCUUUCAGGAAUGUCUGGGUAGGAAAUAUUUGGAGUCCAGUACCCAGGUCUGGGGCCUCCAGCACAGAGAGAUGUGCAGCAGAGCCAGAGUGAGUUGGAGAGGCAGCUGAACACGGGGCUGGGUGAUGGCUGCCCUCACUGCAUCAGUGUGUCAGCACACAGUGCUGAGGUUUGGGCACAGCAGAUAUGCCAAUGAGUCCUACAGCUCAUUCUCACCUCUUCAUCUGUUUGGAUGUGUAGCUCCAGGUACACAGUUUCUUAAAGUUUUACUGUUAAGACUUUUCCAUUACAGUAUGUAAGUAAUUUUAUUAUAAAAUAAUGGUAAAAUAUUUUACAAAAUGCA